rnacentral:tRNA from 1 species
UGCUGAUAAGUAGUUUAACCUAAAACAAAUGAUUUCGACUCAUUAGAUUAUGUAUAAACUCAUAAUUAUCAUC